UACAGAGGGUGCGAGCGUUUAAUCGGAAUUACUGGGCGUAAAGCGUGCGUAGACGGUUAUUUAAGUCGGGUGUGAAAGCCCCGGGCUCAACCUGGGAAUUGCAUUCGAGACUGAAUAGCUAGGGUACGGUAGAGGGAAGUGGAAUUUCCGGUGUAGCGGUGAAAUGCGUAGAUAUCGGAAGGAACAUCAGUGGCGAAAGCGACUUCCUGGACCAGUACCGACGUCAGGCACGAAAGCGUGGGGAGCAAACAG
rnacentral:rRNA from 1 species